GAUGAACGCUAGCGGCAGGCCUAAUACAUGCAAGUCGAACGAGAUCCAGGAGCUUGCUUUUGGUGAAAGUGGCGCACGGGUGCGUAACGCGUAUGCAACCUACCUUAAUCAGGGGGAUAGCCUCUCGAAAGAGAGAUUAACACCGCAUAACAUCAUUUUACGGCAUCGUAGAAUGAUCAAAUAUUUAUAGGAUUAAGAUGGGCAUGCGUGACAUUAGCUAGUUGGUGAGGUAAUGGCUCACCAAGGCUACGAUGUCUAGGGGAUCUGAGAGGAUGACCCCCCACACUGGUACUGAGACACGGACCAGACUCCUACGGGAGGCAGCAGUAAGGAAUAUUGGUCAAUGGAGGCAACUCUGAACCAGCCAUGCCGCGUGCAGGAAGACGGCCCUAUGGGUUGUAAACUGCUUUUAUACGGGAAUAAACCUCUCUACGUGUAGGGAGUUGAAUGUACUGUAAGAAUAAGGAUCGGCUAACUCCGUGCCAGCCGCCGCUGUAAAAC
rnacentral:rRNA from 1 species